rnacentral:rRNA from 1 species
UACGUAGGGGGCAAGCGUUGUCCGGAAUUAUUGGGCGUAAAGAGCGCGUAGGCGGUCCGGUAAGUCGGUUGUGAAAGUCGGGGGGCUCAACCCUCGGAUGCCGAUCCGAUACUGUCGGGCUAGAGUCCGGAAGAGGCGAGUGGAAUUCCUGGUGUAGCGGUGAAAUGCGCAGAUAUCAGGAGGAACACCGGUGGCGAAGGCGGGUCUCUGGGCCGAUACUGACGCUGAGGAGCGAAAGCGUGGGGAGCAAACAGGG